AGGUCUUGCCUGCCCAGUGACAAGUUUAAACGGCCGCGGUAUUUUGACCGUGCGAAGGUAGCGCAAUCACUUGUCUUUUAAAUGAAGACCUGUAUGAAUGGCGAAACGAAGGCUUAACUGUCUCCCCUUUCAAGUCAAUGAAACUGAUCUGCCCGUGCAGAAGCGGGCAUACAAGUACAAGACGAGAAGACCCUUUGGAGCUUAAGAUAAAUAACCAACUACGUCAAGGGCCCAUAAAAUUUAUAAGCCAAACUAAAUAACACCUGGUCAACAUCUUCGGUUGGGGCGACCACGGAAGAAAACAAAGCUCCCAUGCGGAUUGGGGUUUUCACCCUCAAAACCAAGAAAGACAUUUCUAAGGCACAGAAUAUCUGACCACAAAGAUCCGGCUAUUCGCCGAUCAACGGACCAAGUUACCCUAGGGAUAACAGCGCAAUCCCCUUUCAGAGUCCAUAUCGACAAGGGGGUUUACGACCUCGAUGUUGGAUCAGGACAUCCUAAUGGUGCAGCCGCUAUUAAGGGUUCGUUUGUUCAACGAUUAAAGUCCUACGUG
rnacentral:rRNA from 1 species